GAAACAUUAUAUUUAAUUUAUAAAAUAUAAAUUAAACUGCCCCCUCUCUCUCUCUAAACUAAACUAGGGUUCUCUCUGUCUAAGCUUCAUUGAAGCAACAAUCGUCCAUUAACGUUGAACCUUAAAGCUCAAUUGAACCUUUAAAGCUCCAUUAAACUUAAACUAAACACCGGUAAAUCGUCUCUCUGUCUCCUCAGCAACCAAGUGGCGGUGGUGAGUUGGUUUAGUUCAUCGACCACUUAAAAAUUGAUUAUGGUGGUGGCUGUAAAGUAAAUUAACGUCGAGGGUGAGUUGGUUGCGACGUCGACGGAAACAGUUCUUGGGUACUUUCGGUGGUCUUGGAGCAACUGGUUUAUCAGUGUCACUUCUGAUACCUGUUCUUCCAACCCCAUUAGAGGAUCUCCUUGCGCUUGGCCUUUAUUCUGUUGGCAGGUGGUUAAUAAAGAAAAUCAAUGGCAUCAAAAGGUCAUGGUAAUGGAUGGCAUAAGAAAGGUAAGAAAGGACCUGAUAAUCUUCAUGCAGGUCAAUAUACAACACCACCACCACCACCUGUUACCACAACUCUUCAACCAGCCACUACAAAUGUUUGUCCUCCUCCAAGGUAUUUCACUACCAAAUGUAUUUUUCAUGCCCCCACCAUCUGACCAGUUCCAAACCUCUUCUUCCUGUAAUAGUCUGGGUAGUAGCUCUUCAUCUGUACCUUCGACAUCAUCCACACCUAGCCUUUCUGGAUUGAGAAUUGGAGGUCCUACCACAUCAACAUCGGCAUUCAUUGAUAGUGCUACAACAUGUAAUGCUAAAGCAGCUACUUUAUAGAAUCUGAAAUUUAAAGAGGUAGUAGAAUAUGACAGCCACGGGAGACUAAUUAUCAUCCCUGAUGGUAAUGGGUCCAUUCUCGCAUAUAGCGUCGGGCAUAUGGUUAUAGAAACAAUUAAACUAUUUUACACGGAGCCAUGGGGUAGUUGGAAUGAGAUUCGACUCGACAUCAGAAUUCUUAUGUGGAAACAGUUUGCGACAAAGUGUGCAUAGAAGUCUUGUCAUAAAAAUGAAGUACAAGUCGUUUUCAAGUUCAAAGAAGCUCUACAGAUCAAAGAACACUUGUAUGAGGCUCGAAAGAACUUGAAAAAUCCUGGUUGGCUGACAGAUGAUGUGUGUGUCAAGUUCUUGGAAAAAUGGGAUACUCCUGAAUAUAAGGCGGGAAGGGACCAGGCAAAGACAAAUAGAGCCUCUGAAAAGGGUGGCUCAUUGCACACUGGAGGUUCGAUGAGUUUUGCUACCCACCGACGAAGACCGAAAUAUUUAAAUGGGGGAAAAGAGCCAACUUUUCUUGAGGUCUUCGAAGAGACGCAUAAGAAGAAAAAUAAGGACGGUACAAGAGAAGAUUGAGUCGAAAUGCAUGCUGAGGAUGCAUAUGUAAGAUAAUAACUUUUACAUACAUUGUUUUAUUAUUACUCAACUUAGCUUGUUUACAUACUGGAAAAUAAUUUUUCUUUCGGGAAGGAUUUCAAAAGAGCAUAGAAGAUUGGCGUCAAACCCAAUCUACUUCAGAGGAUGGUACCAUGGUCCAACCAUCACCUGCUAAUAUGACUAACAUGUGGACAACUAUGGUAAGUGGUCCAAAGAAAGGUAGAACAUACGGUCGUGGGGUUCUACAAUCUUCAAGUAGUCUUUCGUUGUUUCCCAAUUCCCCUUCUACUUUGCAAACUUUGAAAGAAAUGGAAGCGAUGUAAAAGCAAAUUGUAGAGUUGACGCAACAAUGUGCAUCUAAUGAUGCUAAGUUUGCAAAAUUUGUUAAAUUUGAGGAGUUGGUCAAGAAGUACAUGCCUCAAGUAUUUCAUGAUGAGGAAGAGAGUGAACCUGGUGAUGAUUAGAUUGUAUAUUGUUCUUAUUUUUGGUUGUGUCAUUUAGAUGUUUAAACUAUUUAACUCGAUGUUUGUUUGGGAAGUUUUAAAGUGGUUGAAUUUUUAAAUU